UACGGAGGGUGCGAGCGUUGUCCGGAAUCAUUGGGCGUAAAGGGCGCGUAGGUGGCCCGGUCAGUUCGUGGUGAAAGCGCGGGGCUCAACCCUGCGUCGGCCAUGAAUACUGCCGCGGCUGGAGCACUGUAGAGGCAGGCGGAAUUCCGGGUGUAGCGGUGGAAUGCGUAGAGAUCCGGAAGAACACCGGUGGCGAAGGCGGUUCUCUGGGCCUUACCUGACGCUGAGGAGCGAAAGCGUGGGGAGCGAACAGG
rnacentral:rRNA from 1 species